GCCUGGGUGGCUCAAUGGUUGAGAGUCUGCCUUCAGCUCAGGGCGUGAUCCCCGGGGUGGUGGGAUCGAGUCCCACCUCGGGCU
rnacentral:tRNA from 1 species